CCCACAUUGGGGAAGCGAGAGCGAUCGAAGCCCGCGCUGCAAAAUUCGAAAGAAAGGAAAGAAACAAGAAAUAGGGUUUCAGGCUCCCAUCGCCAUGGCCGGUGCCGGAGCCAAAUCUCUACUACCAGAAGUGGACACCACCGUCGCCGCCGCCGCCGUUGCGUGCUCCAUUCCCGGCCUCGAACCCCGCCGACGCGGCCACCGAAGCGGUAUCGCUCUCUCUCUUUCCUUCAUCAAACCCCCCCGAUGGACUGGAGUUCGCCUUGGAUUUUCUUCUCUCCCUCUUGCUGAAGGUCGGCACGAUCCACGUGAGUGGGUUCCCGAGUGACCUGAAGGGGAGAGAGCUCCAUCUCCUCCCGAGGUGGAUGCCGAGCUCCACGGUCUCUCUUUUCCAGCCACAAGCACAGGCGGGAUUCGCACUCUUCUCGACCCGCCAGCACGCCGUGGUCGCCUAAUUCUUUCUCAAUGGCUUGGAGCUUGAUGGGCCACGGGAUCAUAUAUUGCGCGAGGCGAUGACAAAGAACAAUCUUUGCAUCAUGGUACAUGCCUUCAUCUGCUUCUUAUUUCCUUCCUAGGGGCUUUAUGGCAACACAAGCACCUGGCCUACUGAUGUUGACAUACCAGGAUGUAGCACUUCUGUGCCUGGUCAGGUAGCAGCCAUGUUUUGCUUAUUUGACUAUAAUUUCUAUUUCCCCAGUCCCCAAACUGGGAAACAGAAGUCCUUUUGCUAAUAUGCUCUCACACACAAUUUUUGUCUUAGUAUAGGUGCUUUUCUCUAAAUACUUGUAAUUUCUUGCAGCCUCUCUGGUAUUCUAAGUCUUCAUUCUCUUGUAGUGCAUUCUGCUUUAUAUAGAGUAUGGACCUUCUUAUGCAAAGGAACUUACUCAUUGCUAAGACUUUAUUGAUAAUAACUAGCUCAAAUUGUACAGAAUGAUGCUCAUUGUUGCUUAAUUAUUUUGUGCUGU